GACGAACCGAGCAAACGUUAUUCGGAAUCACUGGGCUUAAAGGGCGCGUAGGCGGGCAUGCAAGUCUGUGGUGAAAUCCGGCAGCUUAACUGUCGAACUGCCGUGGAUACUGGAUGUCUCGAGGGAGGUAGGGGCGUGCGGAACUAUUGGUGGAGCGGUGAAAUGCGUUGAUAUCAAUAGGAACUCCGGUGGCGAAGGCGGCACGCUGGACCUCUUCUGACGCUGAGGCGCGAAAGCCAGGGGAGCAAACGGG
rnacentral:rRNA from 1 species